AUUGAACGCUGGCGGCAGGCCUAACACAUGCAAGUCGAGCGGGGUUUUCGGACCUAGCGGCGGACGGGUGAGUAAUGCGUAGGAAGCUACCCGAUAGAGGGGGAUACCAGUUGGAAACGACUGUUAAUACCGCAUAAUGUCUACGGACCAAAGUGUGGGACCUUCGGGCCACAUGCUAUCGGAUGCGCCUACGUGGGAUUAGCUAGUUGGUGAGGUAAUGGCUCACCAAGGCGACGAUCCCUAGCUGGUUUGAGAGGAUGAUCAGCCACACUGGAACUGGGACACGGUCCAGACUCCUACGGGAGGCAGCAGUGGGGAAUAUUGGACAAUGGGCGCAAGCCUGAUCCAGCCAUGCCGCGUGUGUGAAGGAGGCCUUCGGGUUGUAAAGCACUUUCAGUAGGGAGGAAGCGUUGUGUGUUAAUAGUACACAGCGUUGACGUUACCUACAGAAGAAGCACCGGCUAACUCUGUGCCAGCAGCCGCCGCUGUAA
rnacentral:rRNA from 1 species